AGUGAACGCUGGCGGUAGGCCUAACACAUGCAAGUCGAACGGCAGCACAGUAAGAGCUUGCUCUUACGGGUGGCGAGUGGCGGACGGGUGAGGAAUACAUCGGAAUCUACCUUUUCGUGGGGGAUAACGUAGGGAAACUUACGCUAAUACCGCAUACGACCUACGGGUGAAAGCAGGGGAUCUUCGGACCUUGCGCGAUUGAAUGAGCCGAUGUCGGAUUAGCUAGUUGGCGGGGUAAAGGCCCACCAAGGCGACGAUCCGUAGCUGGUCUGAGAGGAUGAUCAGCCACACUGGAACUGAGACACGGUCCAGGCUCCUACGGGAGGCAGCAGUGGGGAAUAUUGGACAAUGGGCGCAAGCCUGAUCCAGCCAUACCGCGUGGGUGAAGAAGGCCUUCGGGUUGUAAAGCCCUUUUGUUGGGAAAGAAAAGCAGCAGGUUAAUACCCCGCUGUUCUGACGGUACCCAAAGAAUAAGCACCGGCUAACUUCGUG
rnacentral:rRNA from 1 species